rnacentral:rRNA from 1 species
CUACGGGUUGCUGCAGUGGGGAAUAUUGGACAAUGGGGGAAACCCUGAUCCAGCAAUGCCGCGUGUGUGAAGAAGGCCUGCGGGUUGUAAAGCACUUUCGGUUGGGAGGACUGCUUCUAGCACUAAUAUUGUUGGAAGUUGACGUUACCUUCAGAAGAAGCACCGGCUAACUCCGUGCCAGCAGCCGCGGUAAUACGGAGGGUGCAAGCUUUAAUCGGAAUUACUGGGCGUAAAGCGCGCGUAGGCGGCUAGAUCAGUCGGGUGUGAAAGCCCCGGGCUUAACCUGGGAACUGCAUCCGAUACUGUCUAGCUUGAGUACAGGAGAGGAGAGUGGAAUUCCACAUGUAGCGGUGAUAUGCGUAGAUAUGUGGAGGAACACCAAUGGCGAAGGCAGCUCUCUGGCCUGAUACUGACGCUGAGGCGCGAAAGCGUGGGGAGCAAACAGGAUUAGAUACCCUCGUAGUC